GUUCUCACAGGGUUCUCCGUGUGUUACAGGGUUCUCCGUGUUUAACAGGGUUCUCCGAGUGUUACAGGGUUCUCACCAUGUUACAGGGUUCUCCGAGUGUUACAGGGUUCUCCGUGUUUAACAGGGUUCUCGGAGUGUUACAGGGUUCUCACCGUGUUACAGGGUUCUCCGUGUUUAACAGGGUUCUCGGAGUGUUACAGGGUUCUCACCGUGUUACAGGGUUCUCCGUGUUUAACAGGGUUCUCGGAGUGUUACAGGGUUCUCACCGUGUUACAGGGUUCUCGGAGUGUUGCAGGGUUCUCGGAGUGUUACAGGGUUCUCACCGUGUUGCAGGGUUCUCCGUGUUUAACAGGGUUCUGCGAGUGUGUGUGAGUGUUAUCUGUGUCAUUUUGUGCGGUGUUGAUGUAUAAUCUGAGAUCUUUUUGUUUGUUGUUGGUUUGUAGGAUUUUACGGAGAUUAAACGCAGGUGCAGACAAACUUUCCCCCAAAUCCCCUCAGCGCUGCUGCUUUAGUCGAGAUCACAGCGGCGCUGCGACGCUUCUGAUCUCCGCUCAGGCGUAAACACUCGUCACACUUCAGCACCGCCACCAAGCCUUACACCUGCUGAUCGCCAGCGCUGUGCGCAGCGGUCAUGAGCACGCCCAGCCUCUCCUUCAUCGAACUGUCAUCGCGAGUCCUCCGCAGGAGCGUUUGUUCCUGAUCCCGCGACUCUGUGUAAGUUCCCGUACACGGAGACUCACUAACGUGACCCUCGGCUGAUGGUGUAACUGUCCGUGAGUUUCCGUGGCGUUCUAUACGGGUCACGCCGUCACGUUUAAAUCGCUCCUUCAUUUCAAUCACACAACGAGUCAAUAAUCAUCUCAUCACCGUCAGUUAAUCACCUGACAUUCCAAACGCGAUUCCAAACAAAUCCAUCCAUUUACAAAUAACAAACAACCCUAGCCCUUCCACUAGGACAAAGUAUUGGCACCGUGUACAAGGAGGAGGAGUCAGUGUGUGUACAAAAUGCUGUGUGUUUGUCCCUCUAGGGAAGAACCCUUAAAAACCCCUGCGACAGAUGUUCCAAAGUUUCCAAGUUAUGGACUCUUAUAUAUUAAUGUUUUAUAUUAAUUU
ensembl:lncRNA